UACGGAGGGGGAAAGAGUUGAGAGGAAGAACUGGGCGUAAAGCGCGCGUAGGCGGCUUUGUAAGUUAGAGGUGAAAGCCCGGAGCUCAACUCCGGAACUGCCUUUAAGACUGCAUCGCUAGAAUCAUGGAGAGGUGAGUGGAAUUCCGAGUGUAGAGGUGAAAUUCGUAGAUAUUCGGAAGAACACCAGUGGCGAAGGCGACUCACUGGACAUGUAUUGACGCUGAGGUGCGAAAGCGUGGGGAGCAAACAGG
rnacentral:rRNA from 1 species